rnacentral:tRNA from 1 species
GCAGUGGUUGUUUAGUGGUAGAAUUCUUGCUUUUCAUGCAGGAGACCCAGGUUCUAUUUCCAGCCAGUGUG